GACGAACGCUGGCGGCGUGCUUAACACAUGCAAGUCGAACGGAAAGGCGCUGCUUCUGUGGGGUGCUCGAGUGGCGAACGGGUGAGUAACACGUGAGUAACCUGCCCUUGACUUUGGGAUAACUUCAGGAAACUGGGGCUAAUAACGGAUAGGAGCUCCUGAUGCAUGGUGGGGGUUGGAAAGUUUGGGCGGUUGGGGCUGGACUCGCGGCUUAUCAGCUUGUUGGUGGGGUAGUGGCUUACCAAGGCUUUGGCGGGUAGCCGGCCUUGGGGGGUGACCGGGCACAUUGGGCCUGAGAUACGGCCCAGACUCCUACUGGAGGCAGCAGUGGGGAAUAUUGCACAAUGGUCCGAAGCCAGAUACAGCAACGCCGCGUGCGGAAUGACGUCCUUCGGGUUGAAAACCGCUUUCGCCUGAGACGAAGCUUGAUUGACGGUAAUGAGUAAAGAAGCACCGGCUAACUACGUG
rnacentral:rRNA from 1 species